rnacentral:lncRNA from 1 species
GUCCUAUCUGUGCUGCUGGAACAUUCAAGUGCUGUUAGUGGUGAGAACUUAUCAGCAAUGUCAAUAUUGUUUUUGAAAAAUUGAACAUAAUUUUUUUUGCAUAAUCUACUCUGACCAUGAUUUUCCUCAUCUCCUCCCUGAUCCUCCCUGUUUCCUCAGCCUUCUAACUUCUUAUCUUCUUCAUCUCUCCUUUUAGAAAAAAAUAAAAGAAACCAAAAUAAAACAAACAAAAAGGAAAAAGAAGAAACCCACACACAACCAUAAAAACAUAAAAUCUGAAACCAUCAAUUCGUAAGUAAAACAAUAAGUUUUAAAAAAAAUACCCAAACAAAACAAUAUGAGUCAAAAUAUAUCAUUACACUUGUUUUGUGUUGGCCAUCUAGUGCUGGACAUGGGGCCUGCCCUUACAUGUGACUUGUAUACUCUGUGAGACUCCAUUGGAGGAAACCAACUUUUCCUUUGUGAGUGACUGUCAAUUAGAGAUAGCUUCUUGGUAGGGUUGGGAGCUCAUGUCUAUCUCUCCACGCUGCUAGCCCAUCUGGUUUAGACCUGUGUGCGAUGACAGUAUGUAUCAUGUGUACAUCAUCCUGUUGUGUCUGGAAGACAGGUUCCUUGGUGGCAUCAUCACUGCUGGCUCUUGAGAUCUGUCUGCCUCUUCUCCUGAGCAGUUCUCUGAGCCCUGAGGGGAGGGUUUGAUGGAGACACCCCAUUUAGGAUGAGUGUUCCAUGGUCUCUCACUCGGCACUCUGUCCAGGUGUGGGUCUCUGCGUUUGUUUCCAUCUACUGCAGGGGAAUCUUCCCUGGUGAUGGCACUGAUUCAUGGUUACAGCAGAAGGUCAUUAGGGGUCCAAAAGCUUUAAAAAUACACAAACUAGCAACUUUCAUAUUAUGUAUGUUUGGCUAUCGUUUAAAAUGUUUUAUAAGCAUACAUUUUUAUACAUGGCUAGUUUUAUGCAAAAUGUGCAAUUCAAAGUGAAGCAAGCCAUCUUUACUUUCUGUGGCUCAUUCCUUCUUCAGGAGUCGUGAGUGAGAUAUGAAACAUAUUUGCUGAAAUGUAUCUGUAGCCAUCAACAAGGCAGCCUCUGUGGCGCUAGUAUAUGAUCAAUAGAUACUCAUUGUAAGAGCUUAUGGAGGAAGAGAAAAAGAAGGGCUAGACUGGAGAGGUGGGUGGACCACAGGUGGCUGGUCUCCAGGAAGUUAAAGGAAGCCAGAGAUAAAAUAAGGCAAGUUGCCCCAAUAAAAACAAAAGAUGUGAGAGGACUUACAAACAGGUAAUUAGAGUUGGCUCCAACACUAUUCACCUUUGAGCUGUGACAAGAUACAAUUUCAGGGUAUUAACUAGCCAAUACUCUCCCCCCAGCCCCUCCCAGCUCCACCCAACCCCUCCCAUAUUUUCCUUUUCCUUUGACACUAGCUCCAUCUGAGCUUUACCCUUGGCUCAGGGCUUUGAAGAAGGAAGCUACCAUCCUCAGAGACGCUUCUGAGGUUUGUUUUCAUAUCCCAUGUGCUGAAAGGAACCUCAGAAGAUCAAGGCGUUAGUCAAGAGUAGAGCUUGCAGAGUGAGAUCACACUCUCCAACCCUCAAGCAGCGUGGAGACUGAAAAUGACUAGCACAGGUAAAUCUGUGUGCUGAUCUC